rnacentral:sRNA from 1 species
AAAAUUGUUUCAUCUGCGUUGAAGAAUGAUGGUCGUCGUGAGGAGAGAGAGAGAGUCGAAUUAAGAAAGAAAAAAUAAGGUAGAGGGUGGGUUCGAUCUAGAGAAUAUUCAAGCCAUACAUAACCACUACACUAAGACAAUAUAUACAUAACUAUUAGAAAAACAAUUGCAUAUAAAUAGUAAGAACCAUCGAAUUAAGUUUUCACUACAGUUAACGAUUUCGUUAUCAUAGUUAACGGUCGUUAACUGGAUUUUUUAUUUUACCAAAAUUUAUAAGACAUGAAAGUUUUUAAAGGAAAUA